rnacentral:tRNA from 1 species
CCCUCGAUAGCUCAGUUGGUAGAGCGGAGGACUGUAGAUCCUUAGGUCGCUGGUUCAAAUACGGCUCGAGGGA